rnacentral:rRNA from 1 species
AACCCGGAGAACUGAAACAUCUAAGUACCCGGAGGAAAGGACAUCAAUUGAGACUCCGUUAGUAGUGGCGAGCGAACGCGGAUCAGGCCAGUGCUCUUAUCAAUCGAACUCGAACCAUCUGGAAAGUUGGGCCGGAGUGGGUGACAGCCCCGUAGAGGUAGGAAAGAUAAGAGACUUGAGUAGGGCGGGACACGUGAAAUCCUGUCUGAACAUGGGGGGACCAUCCUCCAAGCCUAAGUACUCCUACAUGACCGAUAGUGGACCAGUACCGUGAGGGAAAGGUGAAAA